UUCUGCCUACUUUGACUGAUUUGUUCCCAUUUCAAACGACACAGGCUGUGGUCGAUCUUGGGUUAGUAAGAAAAAUAUUUGCUUUCAGUCUGUCUAUUUAUAGUAUAGCUACCUCGCGGAGUGAACAACCAUCACUGUACACAUAGAUCGCAGUUAUUUAACGUUAUUACAGACAGAUCUGGCAUUUCUCCAUCUGGAAAUUACAACUGCAAGUGUUUUCAUUUAUGUCCAAGAGCUAGCUAGCUACUGUAACUGGCUAGCUAACUAACUUUAGCAGGCUCUAGUCUAGAUCAAUUCGCCAGCUGCAGAGCAGCACUCACUAACAAGACCGGUAAGUCACUUGCUUUAAUCAUCUCUGAAGUUGUUUGGGAUGCGAUCACACUAGCUCCAUAUAUUUAUCUAAAGUAUUUGAUGAAAUAGGUUGUUUCUUUAACUAGUUUAGCAAGGUUAUAGUCUGUAGGCUAGUAUUUAGUUAACGUACACCUUUAGGAAAUGCCCGCAAUGCAGCUGUGGUGGUGCCACUUUUGUUACGCUAUCUACCUGCUUUAAAGAGUGGAAAAUACUCGAGCCUUUAUCCAUAGCUGUUGAUCUCAGUUCCGUGAAAAAGUGAUGUUGACUUAAAUGGAUCAACCAGGUAAGUUAAUUAAAGGUAAAAUGUUCUGUACACUCACUAAAUAUUUGUAUUUAACUAGGCAAGUCAGUUAAGAACAAACUAUUAUUUACAAUGAAGGCCUACCCUGGCCAAAUCCGGAUGACGCUGGGCCAAUUGUGCGACGCCUUAUGGGACUCUCAAUCACAGCCGGAUGUGAUACAUCCUGGUUUCGAACCAGGGACUGCAGUGCCUUAGACCACUGCGCCACUUGGGAGCAAGCCGAAUGCUGCUACAAUUGCUGUGGGUGCCGGAUAGACAACGGUGGUCUUCCAUUCCCAAACUUGAAGCCGUCUGACCCUAGCAGGAAGGACCAGAGAAAGGUGACUAAAAUUGGACCAUUAACUGGCUUAGUCUACACUUUGGAGGAACAACAGAUUUGCAAUGCAUUUAUCAGCAACGGUUUGGGGGGGGGGGGG